rnacentral:rRNA from 1 species
AGAGUUUGAUCCUGGCUCAGAACGAACGCUGGCGGCAGGCCUAACACAUGCAAGUCGAGCGCACCUUCGGGUGAGCGGCGGACGGGUGAGUAACGCGUGGGAAUAUGCCCUUUGGUACGGAAUAGUCCUGGGAAACUGGGGGUAAUACCGUAUGCGCCCUUCGGGGGAAAGAUUUAUCGCCAAAGGAUUAGCCCGCGUUGGAUUAGGUAGUUGGUGGGGUAAUGGCCUACCAAGCCGACGAUCCAUAGCUGGUUUGAGAGGAUGAUCAGCCACACUGGGACUGAGACACGGCCCAGACUCCUACGGGAGGCAGCAGUGGGGAAUCUUAGACAAUGGGGGCAACCCUGAUCUAGCCAUGCCGCGUGAGUGAUGAAGGCCCUAGGGUUGUAAAGCUCUUUCAGCUGGGAAGAUAAUGACGGUACCAGCAGAAGAAGCCCCGGCUAACUCCGUGCCAGCAGCCGCGGUAAUACGGAGGGGGCUAGCGUUGUUCGGAAUUACUGGGCGUAAAGCGCACGUAGGCGGACCGGAAAGUUGGGGGUGAAAUCCCGGGGCUCAACCCCGGAACUGCCUUCAAAACUAUCGGUCUGGAGUUCGAGAGAGGUGAGUGGAAUUCCGAGUGUAGAGGUGAAAUUCGUAGAUAUUCGGAGGAACACCAGUGGCGAAGGCGGCUCACUGGCUCGAUACUGACGCUGAGGU